rnacentral:lncRNA from 1 species
GUAUAUUGAAGAUAAUGAUCCUGCUUCUGAAUGGGAGAUAAGAGAGAGACAAAGACAGAGCUGCUGGCUUUUAAGUCGCAUGAAAAGCUUCAGAUACUACAGCGAUGAGGACCGUAUAUGAAGACAGAGCUGUGCCGUAACUGGAAUCAGCAAUAUCUUGCAACACUGGAUCCACUUCAACACUUCACGGCCUUAUCCCAGCUGUGGCUUUUACCCGUCUGCCAACACUACACGGUUUCUCGGUGGAUUGCUCAGCGGGCAACUGGCUGGUCAGCUCUCAGAUCAUCUUGUACCAGCAGGAGACGACGGUGCACCAGAGCUCUCCAAAGCUGCCUGAGCAAUAUACACGAGGAGAGAAGACUGUGCUUCUCCAUGACAGUUCGUUUGCCCUGGCACCUGAGGGACCCUUUAGGAAGAGGGACAUCAGAAGCAGGCUUUUGGCCCAGGAAAUUGGCACUCUGUGAUAUAUGGCCUGCGUUCAUAGGGGGAUCAUCUCUGCCUCAGGGAAGGGAUAUCUUUGAAGGAAACGACCACAGUUUAAAAUUGUUUUAGGCUUGGCUUGCAAAAAGAGCUAGGGAUCACUUGUCUUCAUGCAACUGGUCCUUGGGAGCCAGUGGGAUUCUGAGCGACUUGCCAAGGACUCAUAGCUGCUCCAACUCCUUUAAACAUCUGGAGAUGAGGAUACUUCCAGACAGCCACGUGAGCUUUCCUAACAGAAGAUUUACGGUCAUGUUCAACUGAUUGUUUGCAUCCAGAGCGGGCUGGGACAUUCUUCAAAUGCUGCCUAGAUAAGCAGUAAAUUAAAAAGCAGUUAAGGAUAGAAAGAUGGAAGUAAAUGAUGCAAGGUGAGAAAAGAGGUGGCCGAGGUCUGUUUAGACUUGAUAUUCUCUGCCUGUCACACUUCAUCUGAUUGUAAGCUGUAAAAGCAGUGUGCUUGUGCUCAGGGGCCUCAAGGUAGCAGCACUGUUGCAUGUCUGAAGCAAGCGGACACCUGAGCACUAGCAGACGUAGUACAUUACAGAGAACAUCUCUCCUGCCUCGUAUCAUUCAUCACAGGAUCAGUUCUGUCCUCCCUUCUAACACUGCUUCACUUGCUGUGCAUCCACAAGAAUUCUCCUGGCUUGGCACUUCAAACUCUAGCCAAGUCACUAAUAUUAUUAAUUGGUGUCCUUAUUAUGAGUGAUUUGCAGUCUUUUAUCACAGUUGUGCUUAGGUGUCACUCCCAAAUUCCUGGUUUUGUUCUGCAUACCCAGUAAAUAGCAGUGCCUUUCCAAAAAACAGAUGCCCCAGGUAAUUCAGAUAAAGCAGGUCAUCACUGCAGCAUUUUGUGCCUUUCUUGCGGUCUAGUUGGUGUAACAGAUUUCUCAUGUCAAGUCCUGGCACCACUGAAAUCAGCAGGAACUUUGCCACAGGCAUCAGCUGGACAAGGAUUUCAUCUCUAAUGUACUGAGCGAUCCAGGGCAGUUAAUGACACUUGGGUUCUGUCUUCAUUCAGAGGGUCUGAAUUUAUGUGUGUAUUUGUUUGUUUAUUUGGGGUUUUGCUAAUGAACAGGUGGCCUUUGAUUCCUGACUCCUCUUUGUAAUGAAGCCAUUUGCAAAUAUGCUGCAGAAUUGUUUACUAAACACAGUUUACCAAGCUUUUCAAAUAAAAACUGCUUAAGAUGUCCA